UACGGGGGGGGCAAGCGUUGUUCGGAAUUACUGGGCGUAAAGGGCUCGUAGGUUGCCAACUAAGUCAGACGUGAAAUCCCUCGGCUUAACCGGGGAACUGCGUCUGAUACUGGAUGGCUUGAGUUUGGGAGAGGGACGCGGAAUUCCAGGUGUAGCGGUGAAAUGCGUUGAUAUCAUCAGGAACACCGGAGGCGAAGGCGGCUUACUGGGGCCUUUCUGACGCUGAGGAACGAAAGCCAGGGGAGCGAACGGG
rnacentral:rRNA from 1 species